rnacentral:misc_RNA from 1 species
AAGACUAUAGACCUGCGGAGUACCUGCGGAGGGAUCAUUAGUGAACGCCCUCACGGGCUUAUAACUAUUCCAAACCUCUGUGAACCGUGCCCUUCGGGGCUAUUUUACAAACAUGGUGUAAUGAACGUCAUAUAUCAUAGCAAAACAAAACUUUCAACAAUGGAUCUCU